GUGUCAGCCGCCGCGGUAAGACAGAGGUUGCAAACGUUGUUCGGAAUUACUGGGCAUAAAGCGCACGUAGGCGGUCCGUUAAGUCAUGUGUGAAAUCCCCCGGCUCAACCGGGGAAUUGCGCCUGAUACUGGCGGGCUAGAGGUCGAUAGGGGUGAGCGGAACUCCAGGUGGAGCGGUGAAAUGCGUAGAUAUCUGGAGGAACACCGGUGGCGAAAGCGGCUCACUGGAUCGAAACUGACGCUGAGGUGCGAAAGCUAGGGUAGCAAACGGGAUUAGAUACCCCAGUAGUCC
rnacentral:rRNA from 1 species